GAUGAACGCUGGCGGCGUGCCUAAUACAUGCAAGUCGAGCGAACAGACGAGGAGCUUGCUCCUCUGACGUUAGCGGCGGACGGGUGAGUAACACGUGGAUAACCUACCUAUAAGACUGGGAUAACUUCGUGAAACCGGAGCUAAUACCGGAUAAUAUAUUGAACCGCAUUGUUCAAUAGUGAAAGACGGUUUUGCUGUCACUUAUAGAUGGAUCCGCGCCGCAUUAGCUAGUUGGUAAGGUAACGACUUACCAAGGCAACGAUGCGUAGCCGACCUGAGCGGUUGAUCAGCCACACUGCAACUGAAGCACGGUCCAGACUCCUACGGGAGGCCGCAGUAGAGAAUAUUCCGCAAUGAGCGAAAGCGUGACGGACCAAAGCCGAGUCAGUGAUGAAGGUCUUCGGAUCGUAAAACUCUGUUAUUAGGGAAGACCAAAUGUGUAAGUAACUAUGAACGUCUUGACGGUACCUAAUCAGAAAGCCACGGCUAACUACGUG
rnacentral:rRNA from 1 species